GACGAACGCCGGCGGCGUGCUUAACACAUGCAAGUCGAACGGAAAGGCCUGCUUUCCCUUGUGGAUUGCGGGUACUCGAGUGGCGAACGGGUGAGUAACACGUGAGUGAUCUGCCCCCAACUUGGGUAUAAGCCUGGGAAACUGGGUCUAAUUCCCGAUAGGACUGCAGGGUGGUGCCUGUGGUGGAAAACGAUUUUCUAGUGGUUGGGGAUGAGCUCGCGGCCUAUCAGCUUGUUGGUGGGGUAAUGGCCUACCAAGGCGGCGACGGGUAGCCGGCCUGAGAGGGUGGACGGACACAUUGGGACUGAGGUACGGCCCAGACUCCUACGGGAGGCAGCAGUGGGGAAUAUUGCACAAUGGGCGGAAGCCUGAUGCAGCGACGCCGCGUGGGGGAUGACGGCCUUCGGGUUGUAAACUCCUUUCGACCGCGAGGAAGCCACCUGGUUGGAAGGGUGGUGACGGUAGUGGUAGAAGAAGCACCGGCUAACUACGUG
rnacentral:rRNA from 1 species